AUUGAACGCUGGCGGCAGGCCUAACACAUGCAAGUCGAGCGGCAGCGGGAAAGUAGCUUGCUACUUUUGCCGGCGAGCGGCGGACGGGUGAGUAAUGCCUGGGAAAUUGCCCAGUCGAGGGGGAUAACAGUUGGAAACGACUGCUAAUACCGCAUACGCCCUACGGGGGAAAGCAGGGGACCUUCGGGCCUUGCGCGAUUGGAUAUGCCCAGGCGGGAUUAGCUAGUUGGUGAGGUAAUGGCUCACCAAGGCGAGGAUCCCUAGCUGGUCUGGGAGGAUGAUCAGCCAAGAGAGAACUGAGACACGGUCCAGGCUCCGACGGGAGGCAGCAGUGGGGAAUAUUGCACAAUGGGGGAAACCCUGAGGCAGCCAUGCCGCGUGUGUGAAGAAGGCCUUCGGGUUGUAAAGCACUUUCAGCGAGGAGGAAAGGUUGAUGCCUAAUACGUAUCAACUGUGACGUUACUCGCAGAAGAAGCACCGGCUAACUCCGUGCCAGCCGCCGCGGUAA
rnacentral:rRNA from 1 species